rnacentral:rRNA from 1 species
CUGCGGGAGAUACUGCUAGGCUAGGAGGCGGGAGAGGUCGACGGUAUUCUCGGGGUAGGGGUGAAAUCCUAUAAUCCCGGGAGGACCACCAGUGGCGAAGGCUGUCGGCUAGAACGCGCUCGACGGUGGGGGACGAAAGCUGGGGGAGCGAACCGGAUUAGAUACCCGGGUAGUCCCAGCUGUAAACGAUGCGGGCUAGGUGUUGGGGUGGCUACGGGCCACCUCAGUGCCGCAGGGAAGCCGUUAAGCCCGCCGCCUGGGGAGUACGGACGCAAGGCUGAAACUUAAAGGAAUUGGCGGGGGAGCACCACAAGGCGUGAAGCUUGCGGUUCAAUUGGAGUCAACGCCGGGAACCUUACCGGGGGUGACAGCAGGAUGAAGGCCAGAUUGAAGGUCUUGCUGGACAAGCUGAGAGGAGGUGCAUGGCCGUCGCCAGUUCGUGCCGUGAGGUGUCCUGUUAAGUCAUGGUCAACGAUCGAGACCCACGCUCCUUAGUUGCAACCUGGUACGGCUUACCGUUCAGGGCACACUAAGGGGGACGCCGCCGAUUAGGCGGA